rfam:Chaetomium globosum CBS 148.51 scaffold_26 mitochondrial scaffold, whole genome shotgun sequence.
CUACAAGGAAUUAGGUAUAGUUCCCCUUAUAGAUAAUACAUAAAUAUAAGGUAAAAAGAGGAUGAAUUUCAAGAAAAACUGUAAAAGUCAACUUGAAGCGGAGCCUAUUUAUAUAGGAACGUUCAACGACUAGAAGGGAAAUUUUUAUACCUUCCACGAGUAUCCUCAGUCUAACCUUAAUAUGUUUUUAUUAAACCUUACGUAAGUUAGAUUAUGACAUAGUCUGAACCAUAUUGUGAAAUAUGG